rnacentral:rRNA from 1 species
UACGGAAGGCAGCAGUGGGGAAUAUUGCACAAUGGGCGCAAGCCUGAUGCAGCCAUGCCGCGUGUAUGAAAAAGGCCUUCGGGUUGUAAAGUACUUUCAGUCGUGAGGAAGGUGUUAAGGUUAAUAACCUUAGCAAUUGACGUUAGCGACAGAAGAAGCACCGGCUAACUCCGUGCCAGCAGCCGUGGUAAUACGGAGGGUGCGAGCGUUAAUCGGAAUUACUGGGCGUAAAGGGCACGCAGGCGGUUAAUUAAGUUGGAUGUGAAAUCCCCGGGCUUAACCUGGGAAUGGCAUUCAAGCUGGUUAGCUAGAGUCUUGUAGAGGGGGUAGAAUUCCAUGUGUAGCGGUGAAAUGCGUAGAGAUGUGGAGGAAUACCGGUGGCGAAGGCGGCCCCUGGCAAAGACUGACGCUCAUGUGCGAAAGCGUGGGGAGCAAAC